GCGUGGGUAGUUCAGUGGUAGAAUCCGAGCCUUCCAAGCUUGUGACCUGGGUUCAAAUCCCAGCCCGCGCA
rnacentral:tRNA from 1 species